rnacentral:rRNA from 1 species
AUAUCAGUAAGCGGAGGAAAAGAAACCAACCGGGAUCCCCCUAGUAACGGCGAGUGAAGAGGGGUCAGCCCAGCGCUUAAUCACUGUGUCCCCGUGACAAUGUGAGGUGUGGCGUGUGGACGGAUGUAGCUGCUUUGCGACGGCGACCGACUUCCUUUUGGAACGAGGACUCACAGAGGGUUAUAGGCCCGUAGAGUUGCUUGAGCAUCGUGGUAUUGCGUCCGGCCCUGAGUCGAGUUGCUUGGGAACGCAGCUCUAAUUGGGUGGUACACUUCAUCCAAGCUAAAUACGGCCACGAGACCGAUAGCGCACAAGUA